UGGUGCACAUGCACUGGAGUGUCUGUGCACUGAAGACUUUGGCAGUCAGUGAUACAGGGGUUGAAGGAGACAUGUAUUGAUGACUGUCCCAGGGAAAUAAAACCGGAGGACCUGGAACAGCCUCCCGCAGCGGGACCCGAGGCAGUGGCAACCCGCCCAAGAAAAGAAAGAAAGAGCCCUGAAGAGAGGGCUUACUUACCUCCCAUAGGGAAUGGAGAGCCGCGCUGAGAAGGGCCGCUUGCGUGGUUCAUCAGCUGCUUUUAUUGCCAGCUGGUGGCGGCACUGGCGGAUGACGUAAAAAAAAAUCUCUGCCCAGGAGAUUCAAAAGCCAGUGGCGAAAGGAUGGCGGGAGAGAUGACAGGGAUGCCGGAGGGCAAGGUUGCUCCCUGGCCAAUGUCCCAGGAAGGUCUGCAGCCCUGGUAGGGGUGGUACAGAGACCCUCUGAAGGAGUCUCAUCCAUAUUGAAGAGAAUGGACGACAUUAAGGGAUCGGAGAGGACCACAGAUGCUGGACCCAUGAGUGGGAUGGGCCGAAACCCACACCUAGAGCCUUUCAUCAUUUUAUUUCUUUUUUUCAUUCCACUUUGAUUUUGGGAGGGACCUGGAGUUGUGACCAAAGAAAGACCCUCCAUGGUUCCAGGGUCACAAAGGAAGAUCGAGGCCAGAUUGGUACGAACCUCGGAGGAAGGUUGGGCGCGAAGGCGGGGACAAAUCAUACACCUCCCGGCUAUCUGGGAUAGGUGAGUCGGGGAGCAGGCCAAUGAUUCACCAUCCGGUGAUCCUGAGGGUUGGCACAUGGCUGGGGUGUAGGGGAGGUGGAGCCCCAAGAACGUCUCCGGCAGGUAGUACUCAGAACAGCGAGAAACCCCGGGAAGGAGCCUCCCCACUGAAAAAGAGAAGACCAAGUCGUGGCAGACGAGUGUUGGGGCUUCCCUCAGGGUGAAGCGCAACCUAACACCUAAGUUCUGGGGACAUACCCCUUGGCUGGAGUCAAGUGAACACUCGAAAGCCACCCAAGAACGCCUCUGCAAGAUCAGACAGAGGCAAUGACCCUCUCUCCUUUUGAAUAGUUUUGAUGUUCCACUAAUCAAGCUAACCUUUCUUUUGCAAUUCUGAUGUCUGUUAGCUGCGCCUGGUAAUGUGUGUUCAUUUCACAACCCUGAAUGUUUUUAACUCAUUUCAAUGAUGUUAUUUUUUUUGCUUCAAUGUUAAACUGAAUAAUAUAGCCUUAGGCCCCUAGCAGAUUAGUAAAGCUUCUAGUUUCUUUUACAUGGAGAAAAAUAUGUGCUAUAAUAUAUAGGACUAUGCACCAUGCCAUCUGCACCCCCUUUUUAAAUUCUUAGGUCCACCCAUAGGCUCAUUGCUCAGUGUCUCCUUGCAUUUAUGGGCUCCCUCAGAAGCACUUCGCAAGUCCCCUUUCAUACAGGAGAGGGAGACAAAGGAAAGGGACAUUAGUGCCAACAGGUUUCUCACUUUUUCUGAUUGUUGCCUAAAUUUAAGAAGGUGUUAUCUGGUGGUAUUAGCACAGUCUUUGAAAUUUUGGAAUUGCUCAGAUCUGCUCUGUUCAAAUGAUAUUGAGUUAUUUCCAGAAUGUCAGGGAAACUGAGAAAUACCUUCAAUGGAAUGGACCAAGUAAAGGCUAAGCCUACCAUUAAUACCCAGCUGUCAGCCACCAUGAUGAUUCAGUGUGGUAUGGCUGGUGUGCUGCAGGGCACAGUACUGCUUGCUGUGGACAGGGGAUUCCUGCUGCAGGUACUGAGAGCUGUAGAUAUUACUGCUACCAAAAGGAAUCUCUGGGGCAAGUAGGCUGCAGAGAGGAAUGGCAGAGUGAGGAAUAUUUUGUGGGGAGGGAGGGGGGUUGUUAUGGUUAUCCCUUCAUUGAAAGAGUAGUAUAGGCUGUGCUGAAACUUUAAUCAAUAUAUAUACUGCUAACACAAAGGAUUUGCUAAAGCAUUGGCCAGAAUAGCAUUGGAUCAGCAAACCUGACCAAUUCAGGAACUCCUUACAUAAGCAAAACUUUGAAUGUGGGCCAGAUGUGCAUUCAUGUCAGGAGAUGGGAGGGGGAGAUGGCUAUACAAGGUACAGAAUAGUCCAGUACCAGGAUAAUAGAGAUGUAAUGAGAACACCCAGAUCAGGAUAUGGAACAAGCCCAUGGUACAGGACAGUUGAAAAUAUUCAAGAUAUUGGUGGAACUUAAUAAGUAAUUUGUUUGAUCACCAUAUAAAAGGAGAAUUCAAAAUUAUGGGAACUCUGUAUUGGCCUAAAGGGCCUAUGUGGUGUUGUGCCAAUACUUUGCCACAGGUGUGUUAACACCUUGUCUGUCAGAUCACAAGUGUGUUAGGGCCACACCUUGUAGACAAUAAAUCUCUGCCACUGAACUGA